rnacentral:ncRNA from 1 species
UUCUUCGGGGCAGGGCGUAAUUCCCUACCGGCGGUAAAGUCCGCGACCCGCAUAGGCGGCUGAUCCGGUGAUUCCACAGGAAAAUUCCGGAACCGACAGUAAAAGUCUGGAUGAGAGAAGAA